GGAUAAAAGAAAUACAAGACUUCAAGCAUACCUCCCCAAUAAUGCUCCCGUCAGCAUCUUCUGUCAGAAGACUAAAGCUGGCCAUAUACAUUAGAUGUGAACUGGAAUGGAAUGUGGAAUUUGAAUGAAGUAUCGGGCACUUGUGGAAUUUAUUACCCUUCCUGUAAGAGAUGACCUAUCUAACAAGAAGGUUGUCCAAAGAAGAGAACCCCUUUAAACCCCCUUAGAAGGGCUCCGAGAAGGGAAAGUCAGCUGACAACUCAGAAAAAUGAGAUGGAAGGUCAUUUAACAAAGCACUAUGGAUGUCUAAUGGCCGG